NUGCUUUGGCAGAACAUAUACUAAAUUGGAAUGAUACAGAGAAGAUUAGUAUGGCCCUGCCCAAGGAUGACAAGCAAACCCCCUAUUUAAGCAUAAAAAAUUU
rnacentral:snRNA from 1 species